rnacentral:rRNA from 1 species
GACGAACGCUGGCGGCGUGCUUAACACAUGCAAGUCGAACGGAAAGGCCCUGCUUUUGUGGGGUGCUCGAGUGGCGAACGGGUGAGUAACACGUGAGUAACCUGCCCUUGACUUUGGGAUAACUUCAGGAAACUGGGGCUAAUACCGGAUAGGAGCUCCUGCUGCAUGGUGGGGGUUGGAAAGUUUCGGCGGUUGGGGAUGGACUCGCGGCUUAUCGGCUUGUUGGUGGGGUAGUGGCUUACCAAGGCUUUGACGGGUAGCCGGCCUGAGAGGGUGACCGGCCACAUUGGGACUGAGAUACGGCCCAGACUCCUACGGGAGGCAGCAGUGGGGAAUAUUGCACAAUGGGCGGAAGCCUGAUGCAGCAACGCCGCGUGCGGGAUGACGGCCUUCGGGUUGUAAACCGCUUUCGCCUGUGACGAAGCGUGAGUGACGGUAAUGGGGAAAGAAGCACCGGCUAACUACGU